GGACCAUGGCUCAGUUGUUGAGCAUGUACCUUGGAUGCCUAAGGUCCUAGGUUCACAAUCCCUGGCAUCUCCA